GCCAUGUGUUCUCUUGACGUUCUCCAAGCUUCCUUGAAGAUCAAAAAGUGGUUAAAUUAUGAGGCUAUUUUAGCCGCAUCAUUCAGGAAACACUAUCGUUAAGGAAGCUUAAGCGGAAAACAUCAGAGUGUGGAAUACGCUGGCAUUUUUCAGGGUUAAAUUGUGAGGCUAUUUUAGCCGCAUCAUUCAGAAAACACGAUCGUUAAAGAAGUUUAAGCGGAAAACAUCAGAGUGUGGAAUACGUCGGCAUUUUCCAGGUUACAAAGAGGUCAUUUCGGACAAUUUGGAUUAGAAGUGGGUUGUUGGCGGAGUCCGUGUGUUGCUGUUCCUGUUGCUUGAAGUUCUUCCAUGUUGCUUGAAAUUCUUCCAUGUUGAUAGUUUAUCGAUUUACUCGCUUCUCUUUCAAUGUUGAACUCUGUGAGGUCCGCCUACCUGGGAGCGCGCCUCACCCCAUUGUUUGUUAUUGUUGAACUCCUUUCAUUUCGGUUAUGAUGUAAGCCCUAAGGCGUCACAGUGCA